AGUGAGGCUUGGCUGGGUGGGUGUCCAGAGCAAAGCUCUAGCUCAGGGUCAGCCAUGCAAAAGACAGAUGCUGCCCGGGGAAGGGAAGCUCCCAGCUCCUGGCUGUAGACUGAGCUGCACCCAUCUUGGGCAAGGAAGUAAGCAGGUGGCCCCGGCACCAAAUGUCACCCAGCUCCGGUGAAGCCAUUUGCUGGCCUGACUGGAGCCAGGACAGUGACAUGGAGCACCCACCCCCCCGCCCCCAUCCCUGGCUCCCAUCUCCAGAGCAGCCCUUGGCUCCUGGCUGUAUUCAGGUCUGCUGGGAUCCCUAAGGCUUCCAGGGAAGGCACGUCUCCGGCAUCCAUGCAGUGAGCAACAGUGCCCGACUCUGUGUUCAAAACAUGAAGCUUGAACCAAGUGGGUGAGAGCGCCCUGCUCCAACAACCUCAAGGCAGAAUUCUGACCCUUCCAGGAAUCUCUUGGCCACCAACAGCAACCUGCAACUUGGGACAAGCAACAGAGGCAUCGCAGGAGGCACAGGCCUUUACUUCUACCUGUCCUCAGAGGCUGUCACCCUGUCCCUCACCUCUGAGGUCUUCCCACAUCAUGAACUGGUUGGAUGCCUGCCUGGCACCUCGUUCCAGGUAAGCGAGAGCCAGGCGACCCCUUGUCCUGCUUAGUCCCCGUUUCCUUUCUUCUAGUUUUCUCUCUUGGAAAAGAUAUUGGCAGGUUUAUAAAAGCGUAAAUCAAAACCAACUGAGAUUGGAGUUCCCAUCAUGGCUUAGCGGAAACGAAUCUGACUAGCAUCCAUGAGGAUGCAGGUUUGAUCCCUGGUCUUGCUCGGUGAGUUAAGGAUCCGGCAUUGCCGUGAGCUGUGGCGUAGGUCGCAGAUGCGAUUCGGAUCUGGCGUUGCUGUGGCUGUGGCAUAGGCUGGCACCUACAGCUCUGAUUGGACCCCUAGCCUGGGCACCUCCAUAUGCCACGGAGGCAACCCUAAAAAGAAGAAAACAAAAACCAAAACUGAGAUUUACAUUUUGUGAUUUUUCAUGGGUGUCUUUUACCACUGAACCAUGACGGGAACUCUUAAGUCUGGUUUUGCUCCUCCCUCCACAAAUGCUGACACGUGCUUGGGUCACCAGCCAUUCUGAUCAGUUACUUGAGUGUCUUCCCAACUCCAGUUCCCUGUGAUGUGUCUGUCACAGCAUCUGCAUCAUCUCUGGCACAGAGAAGUGCUGCUGAAUUUACUCCACCCCGAGGCUCCUUGGCGCCGGUUGGCGGUGGUGACUCAGGGGCUGUGUUGCUUAUUUUUCCGGAGCGUCUUCUCAGGAAGGGAUGGGCCCUGCCUUCUCAGGUAGCUUUCUGCACACACCCCACCCCACCCCACCCCCCAACAUCUGACACCUGUCUUUGUGGAGUCGCCUCCCAGGCGUCCCAGCUGGGGCUUCCGGGCAGCCACAGCUUGCCUGAGCCUGUAGCCCGGCAGCCCAGCGGGAGCUGAUGGCAGGCAGUGAUGGCAUGGGAGGCACCUGAGGGCCAUGGGAUCCCUGGCCUGUGUCCCUCUUCAGGGAACUUCAGAACGUGGGCACAAAAGGGACUCGGCUCCUUGACGGGCAGCAGAGGAGGUGGGGGCGCAGAGAGAAGGCUGUUUUCUGAUGUGUCUGUCACAGCAUCUCUAUCAUCCAGUGUCCCUCCCUUGGCCCCUCUGGGAGGUGGCAAUGGCUGGCUGUGCUCAGGGGUGGAAACUGAUUAGACCUAGGAAGGGUGCUGACCCAGGGCUUUGGAGGGUGGUCAGCCAACUACGAAGGGGCCUGGGGCAAAGAACUCUGACCAGCGGGGGUGGUGUUACCUAAAUUAAUCAGAUCUGGACUAGAUCAGAGGAUAUAGAGAGAUUGGGCAGUUAGGAGCAAGAGGAGACCAGAGGGGACCAGAGAUGCCACCAGAGAGAGACCCCAGGGCCAAGGCUGCUGCUGUUCCCAGGCCACUUGGGCAGCUGUGGACCCCAAGUCCUAAUGGGUCACAACUGUGCUCCCCUCCAUUGCCCCCUGGCUCCUCUCUUGACCCUUCUGUGCAAACAUAGCUGUGUUCAAUAUUUUUGUUUUCUUCUAUACAUUUUAUGGUUUUACAACUAGACCUAUGAUCCAUUAUUCCCUUCCUUCUUUCCUUCACUUCCUUUUUUUUUUUUCUUUUGGUCUUUUUAGGGCUGCCCCUUCAGCAUAUGGAGGUUCCCAGACUAGGGGUCAAAUCGGAGCUGCAACUGCCUGCCACAGCCACAGCCACAGCCACGCCAGAUCUGAGCUGCAUCUGCAGCCUGCGCCACAGCUUGAGGCAAUGCCAGAUCCUUAACCCACUGAGUGAGGCCAGGGAUCGAAUCUUCCUCUUCAUGGAUGUUAGUGGGAUUCUUAACCCACUGAGUCACAACAGGAACUCCAUCUAUGAUCCAUUUUGAAUUAACUUUGGUAUAUGGUAUGAGAUAUGCGUAGAAGUUUAUGUUUUGAGAUUAUGGAUUAUACUAGUUUUCUAGGUGGCAUUGUGAAUUAUCCCAAGUUUGGUGUUUAAAACAACACAUUUAUGAUCUCAGUUUCUGUGGGUCAGGAGUCUGAGCAGAGCUUAGCUGGGUCAUCUUAGUGUCUCACUGGGCUGCAAACUGGCAAGGCUGUAUACUCAUCUGGAGGCUUGCUUAGAAAGCUGCUUCCUUGGAGUUCCCGUCGUGGCGCAGUGGUUAACGAAUCCGACUAGGAACCAUGAGGUUGUGGGUUCGGUCCCUGCCCUUGCUCAGUGGGUUGGUUGACGAUCCGGCGUUGCCAUGAGCUGUGGUGUAGGUUGCAGACGCGGCUCGGAUCCUGCGUUGCUGUGGCUCUGGCGUAGGCUGGCGGCUACAGCUCCGAUUUGACCCCUAGCCUGGGAACCUCCAUAUGCUGUGGGAGCAGCCCAAGAAAAGGCAAAAAG
rnacentral:lncRNA from 1 species